CUCAGUAGUGGCGAAUGAACAUGGGGCAGCUUGUUUUUAGUGAAUGCAACUUGGCAUUUAUGUGUUUUGUGCUUGAGAUGCCAAUGUGAGUGUGUAUGUAAACCAUGCGGAACGCUGUGGCAAUGAAGGUGAAACUCCUGUGCGUCAUGUGCUGUCUUGUGUGUAAGGUGCUUGUGAAUGAAUCGUGCUCCUUGAAAGUGGAGUGCAAAUUUGGUGGUAUAUGCCAUUUGAAGCUGAAUAAUUGCUUCGGAACGGUAGUGAAAAAGUACCAUGAGGGAAUUGUGAAAAGGACUUUGUAAAGAAAGUUAAACAGUACCUGAACAUGUUGAGUUCUAAGCAAAUUGUGCGCUGGCAGCAAGUGCGAGUGCUGCAUGCUUGUUCUGCCAAGAUGUGUGUGUGUGUGAAAGUGCAUUUCUUGACUCUGUGGGUGUGCAAAGUAUUGCGCCUUGCCUGUCCGAAGAGUAUAUGAUGUCCAGACACAAAGUCGAUGUAUCAAUGCCGAAUGGUUUGUUUGUCUUGCCAUUACAUKUUAUUCUCGUCUUGGUUUGGUGCUUCUGGGAAUCUUUGUGCUCCUUUGGGCACCUGGCCAUUUCCAGGCAACAGCUACACUAUUUGGCCCGUCUUGAAACACGGACCAAGGAGUCUAAAACAUGUGCAAGUAUAGUGUGGAACAUGGGGGGCGGAAUGAAAAUGGCAAUUGGUAUGCGUGCACCAAUGACCGACCAAGGACUUGUGCAUGGUUUGAGUUUGAGCAUAUAUUYUAGGACCCGAAAGAUGGUGAACUAUGCUUGAGUAAAACAAAUUCAGGGGAAACUCUGAAGGAGGCUUGCAGCGGCACUGACGUGCAAAUCGUUCGUCACACUUGGGUAUAGGGGCGAAAGACUAAUCGAACCAUCUAGUAGCUGGUUCCCUCUGAAGUUUCCCUCAGGAUAGCUGGAAGUGUGGAGUUCUAUCAGGUAAAGCGAAUGAUUAGAGGAAUCGGGGGCUUGCUGUCCUUGACCUGUUCUCAAACUUUAAAUGGGUAUGCUCUAACAGUUGUGUAUGUAAAUUGUUCGGGGUAAUUGAAUUCUUUGUGGGCCAUAUUUGGUAAGCAGAAAUGGCGAUGAGGGAUGAACCUAAUGCUUGGAUAAGGUGCUUAAGUCCUUGCUCAUCAGAUAUCAUAAAAGGUGUUGGUUCAUUUAAACAGCAGGACAGUGGUCAUGGAAGUUGAAAUCUGCUAAG
rnacentral:rRNA from 1 species